rnacentral:rRNA from 1 species
AACGGGUGAGUAACACGUGGGUGAUCUGCCCUGCACUUCGGGAUAAGCCUGGGAAACUGGGUCUAAUACCGGAUAUGACUACGAAUCGCAUGGUUUGUGGUGGAAAGCUUUUGCGGUGUGGGAUGGGCCCGCGGCCUAUCAGCUUGUUGGUGGGGUGAUGGCCUACCAAGGCGACGACGGGUAGCCGGCCUGAGAGGGUGACCGGCCACACUGGGACUGAGAUACGGCCCAGACUCCUACGGGAGGCAGCAGUGGGGAAUAUUGCACAAUGGGCGCAAGCCUGAUGCAGCGACGCCGCGUGAGGGAUGACGGCCUUCGGGUUGUAAACCUCUUUCAGUAGGGACGAAGCGCAAGUGACGGUACCUAUAGAAGAAGGACCGGCCAACUACGUGCCAGCAGCCGCGGUAAUACGUAGGGUCCGAGCGUUGUCCGGAAUUACUGGGCGUAAAGAGCUCGUAGGUGGUUUGUCGCGUUGUUCGUGAAAACUCACAGCUCAACUGUGGGCGUGCGGGCGAUACGGGCAGACUAGAGUACUGCAGGGGAGACUGGAAUUCCUGGUGUAGCGGUGGAAUGCGCAGAUAUCAGGAGGAACACCGGUGGCGAAGGCGGGUCUCUGGGCAGUAACUGACGCUGAGGAGCG